UACAGAGGUCUCGAGCGUUGUUCGGAUUCAUUGGGCGUAAAGGGUGCGUAGGCGGCGGGGCAAGUCUGAUGUGAAAUCCCGGGGCUCAACCCCGGAACUGCAUUGGAUACUGCCUUGCUAGAGUACUGGAGAGGAGACUGGAAUUUACGGUGUAGCAGUGAAAUGCGUAGAUAUCGUAAGGAAGACCAGUGGCGAAGGCGAGUCUCUGGACAGCAACUGACGCUGAGGCACGAAGGCCAGGGGAGCAAACGGG
rnacentral:rRNA from 1 species